AUGCUGCAGACUGGAUUCAAAUCUUGUCUAGCUAGUUUUACAGAUGGAAACACUGAAUCUCCAAGAGGCGGUGAAAGCGGCCCACGGUCCCACCUUAGGAGGCUAGAAGGAGGCACACACCUGCCUGCCCCCGGAAUGGACACUCUCCGUCGCACCCAGACACUGCCUCCACCGACGCGGAACACAUACAGGACCCGCAGUAGUUUCGGUUACAUAUAAAGUGGGUUAUAAAAACGUCAUUUAGUGCCCUGUAAUAUGCAUUCUGUAGCCUUGUGAUGGGGAAUGAAUGUGCAGAGCCAAGGAUGUCGUGUACAUUUUGAAAUGAUCUUCCUGGGAAGAAGCACACCGUUUGUCAAUAUCAAAUCUUAUCUUGUUUGAAGUUCCCAGACUCUCUGGAGCUCUAAUAAGAAGUAGCUUGUUAAUCUUUGAAAUACAAAUGCUGAUCAGCAGAGUUUUUUUUUUUUUUUUUUUUUUCCCUCUUCUGUCGUUUAGGGCCUCUGUGGGAGGGAAGAUCAUGUUAACAUAUGCAUGCUUACUCUCUUACAGAAAACCAACUCUUUAUUUACCUGAGCUUCUCCUCAUGUCCCUGGACAAGUAAUUAAACCAAAUCAUUGACCUCUUCUGGAGCAGCUUAUGAGUCAUUUUUUGCUAAGUGAAAGAAAAGGUGUUUGGAAAAAGAAAAUGCCAUUGGUUCAGAAUCAGAAUAAGUAAGUUUAUACAGAAAAUAUGCACAGGAGACUUGGCAGCAUCUUUUGGGGCCUAUUUUUUUCCCUAAUAUUCAGAAACAUGAACUUUCAUAACAACAAAUGUCAUCCUUUCUGUUCUUGGAAUCCCUUUAUGCGUUGCACGUAGCUCAUGAGGGAUUGCGUGUCAUGACAAUUACAACAUUGCAUUCAGCUGUUUAUUAGAAGGUUAGGAUUCACCCAAGAAUUGGAUAUGUGACUCCCUUCCCUCUCCUGAGAAGAAUAUAGGUAUUUGGAGGCAAAAUUCUAUUUGUUUUUCCUCCUAAUAUUUUCUAGUCACCAGUCCGUAUGGCCAUAACACGUGUUUUCACUUCUCUUAACGUACCCAUUCAGAAGUUACCAGAGGUUAGCAAUCAGAAUCCCAGAAUAUAAGAUGGCAACCCCAGUCGUUAGAACUGAGCUGUGACAUGUACAAGGGACUGGUAUGCAAAAGAUGUUUGGAAACUAAGGCUGGCUAGUUCCCAGGUACUGUUUCAGUUGAUGGCCAAUCUAAGAGUCUCUGGAAAACAUAUAAGCUGAUGCUCUCUUGACUUCAGUGGCUACUGCUUGGCUUGUCUCUUUGAAAGUGUCAUGUCCCCCGACCCGGAGCCAGCUGAAGUGUUUGCUUUUUCUCAAACCUGACUUAACGCAAGCAAAACUUUAAAAUUUUAAAACAUUUUUGGGGGCGCCUGGGUGGCUCAGUGGGUUAAGCAUCCGACCUCAGCUCAGGUCAUGAUCUCACGGUUCGUGGGUUCGAGCCCCAUGUCAGGCUCUGUGCCGACAGGUCAGAGCCCGGAGCCUGCUUCAGGUUCUGUGUCUAUCUCUCUCUCCCUGCCCCUCCCCUGCUCAUACUCUGUCUCUCUCUCUCUCUCUCUCAAAAAUAAAUAAAACGUUAAAACGUUUUUUAAAAAACA
rnacentral:lncRNA from 1 species